CUUGGGCACUAUUGUUCCUCUAAGUAAACUUACAGACAGACGCCCUGCAUUACAGUGUGGGCCAGAGAGAGAGGAAAGAGACCGCAACGAAGCUGACCUGCAAAAAAAAAGUGCUCCGAUACAACCCAACGGGAGGCUCAGGGAUUGCAGCGCUUGCUCCUCACUCGUUGCCGCGUGGCUCCUCUACACCUCAACCGGUUGGUUUUCCACGCUGGAGAAAGGCGGAUCUGAUGACCUGAGCAGGAUGUUGCUGCUAUCGCUGCUGCAGCUGCUGGUGGGACUGGACUGUGUCCUGGGAGCGCCGGCAGGAAGAGAGGUCUACAGGAUGCCACAGAGUGCACUCAAAGCGUUGUCCGACCGCGGGACGGUGGUGCUGGAGGCGGCCCUGGCCGGCGCGCUGUCGGCCCUGGAGCGGGCGUCAUCGGAGCGCGGCCGGGCCGAGGCGGGCUGCCGGGGCUGCGUGCCCUGCCUGUUCCAGGACUGCGGCCAGCGCUCCGGAGCCUGCUCCUCCCCGGCCAGCUCCUCGUCGGAGCCCGGCUGUGAGCUGGUGAUGAAGGCCCAGCGGCUCCAGGACGAGGCCGAGCGGAGCUGGGCCCUGAGCCAGGCCUGCGGCUUCUACCAGCGCCGAUGCCCGGACGGGGCCCUGGACACGGAGACCUGCGUCCGCGUCAUGGGGGAGAGCUGCAGCGCCCGCGUGCUGCAGUGCAG
ensembl:lncRNA